GUGGGGAAUAUUGGACAAUGGGGGGAACCCUGAUCCAGCCAUGCCGCGUGUGUGAAGAAGGCCUUUUGGUUGUAAAGCACUUUAAGCGAGGAGGAGGCUACCGAGAUUAAUACUCUUGGAUAGUGGACGUUACUCGCAGAAUAAGCACCGGCUAACUCUGUGCCAGCAGCCGCGGUAAUACAGAGGGUGCAAGCGUUAAUCGGAUUUACUGGGCGUAAAGCGCGCGUAGGUGGCCAAUUAAGUCAAAUGUGAAAUCCCCGAGCUUAACUUGGGAAUUGCAUUGGAUACUGGUUGGCUAGAGUAUGGGAGAGGAUGGUAGAAUUCCAGGUGUAGCGGUGAAAUGCGUAGAGAUCUGGAGGAAUACCGAUGGCGAAGGCAGCCAUCUGGCCUAAUACUGACACUGAGGUGCGAAAGCAUGGGGAGCAAACAGGAUUAGAAACCCCGGUAGUCC
rnacentral:rRNA from 1 species